UACGAAGGGGGCUAGCGUUGCUCGGAAUGACUGGGCGUAAAGGGCUGCGGUAGGCGGUUUGUACAGUCAGGUGUGAAAUUCCCGGGCUCAACCUGGGGGCGGCACUUCGAGACGUAGGAACUGGAGUGAGGAAGAGGGUCGUGGAAUUCCCAGUGUAGAGGUGAAAUUCGUAGAUAUUGGGAAGAACACGGUGGCGAAGGCGGUUCUCUGGGACGGUACUGACGCUGAGACGCGAAAGCGUGGGGAGCGAACAGG
rnacentral:rRNA from 1 species